AAAAUCCGUUGGUUUCACGGGACCGUGAGGGUU
rnacentral:tRNA from 1 species